AGAGACAGCAGCCGCCACGGUAAUACAGAGGGUGCAAGCGUUAAUCGGAAUUACUGGGCGUAAAGCGCACGCAGGCGGUCUGUCAAGUCGGAUGUGAAAUCCCCGGGCUCAACCUGGGAACUGCAUUCGAAACUGGCAGGCUAGAGUCUUGUAGAGGGGGGUAGAAUUCCAGGUGUAGCGGUGAAAUGCGUAGAGAUCUGGAGGAAUACCGGUGGCGAAGGCGGCCCCCUGGACAAAGACUGACGCUCAGGUGCGAAAGCGUGGGGAGCAAACAGGAUUAGAUACCCCAGUAGUCCCUGUCUCUUAUAC
rnacentral:rRNA from 1 species